rnacentral:tRNA from 1 species
GCGGUCGUGGCGGAAUUGGUAGACGCGCUAGCUUGAGGUGCUAGUGGGGGAAACCCCUUGGAAGUUCGAGUCUUCUCGACCGCACCA